rnacentral:rRNA from 1 species
GAUGAACGCUGGCGGCGUGCCUAAUACAUGCAAGUCGAGCGAACAGACGAGGAGCUUGCUCCUCUGACGUUAGCGGCGGACGGGUGAGUAACACGUGGAUAACCUACCUAUAAGACUGGGAUAACUUCGGGAAACCGGAGCUAAUACCGGAUAAUAUAUUGAACCGCAUGGUUCAAUAGUGAAAGACGGUUUUGCUGUCACUUAUAGAUGGAUCCGCGCCGCAUUAGCUAGUUGGUAAGGUAACGGCUUACCAAGGCAACGAUGCGUAGCCGACCUGAGAGGGUGAUCGGCCACACUGGAACUGAGACACGGUCCAGACUCCUACGGGAGGCAGCAGUAGGGAAUCUUCCGCAAUGGGCGAAAGCCUGACGGAGCAACGCCGCGUGAGUGAUGAAGGUCUUCGGAUCGUAAAACUCUGUUAUUAGGGAAGAACAAAUGUGUAAGUAACUAUGAACGUAUUGACGGUACCUAAUCAGGAAGCCACGGCUAACUACGUG